rnacentral:rRNA from 1 species
CCUACGGGUGGCAGCAGUAGGGAAUCUUCCACAAUGGACUAAAGUCUGAUGGAGCAACGCCGCGUGAGUUACGAAGGGUUUCGGCUCGUAGAGCUCUGGUGGUAGUGAAGAAAGAUAGAGGUAGUAACUGGCCUUUAUUUGACGGUAAUUACUUAGAAAGUCACGGCUAACUACGUGCCAGCAGCCGCGGUAAUACGUAGGUGGCAAGCGUUGUCCGGAUUUAUUGGGCUUAAAGCGAGUUCAGGCGGUUCAAUAAGUCUGAUGUGAAAGCCCUCGGCUCAACCGGAGAAUUGCAUCAGAAACGGUUGAACUUGAGGGCAGAAGAGGAGAGUGGAACUACAUGUGUAGGGGUGGAAUGCGUAGAUAUAUGGAAGAAAACCAGGGGCGAAGGCGGCUCUCUGGUCUGCAACUGACGCUGAGGCUCGAAAGCAUGGGUAGCGAACAGGAUUAGAUACCCUUGUAGUC